CAUUUACUGUUAAUUACCCCUAUUAAAUAUUAGGGCACCUUCGAUUAAGUGACCUCUGAAAUGCUGAAUGAGAAAUAAACUGGAAUUGAACAAAAAAGAAUUUUAUAAUAUAGUUUAUCAUUCAAUUACAUGGCUUUAACCAAGGGCAUACCCCCAAUAUACAUAAAUAGAGGAUAAAAAGAGAGAGUGCUUAAUUUAACGAUAUGACGGUCAGUUGAACUUAAUUUUAAUUGAACCUUAGUUAUAUAUU
rnacentral:lncRNA from 1 species